GUACAACGUCUCCUCCGUUUUGGCCGACCUGCAGCAGAGCUACGAU
rnacentral:sRNA from 1 species